UCCUUCGUUUUCCAUCUUUCUUCUGAUUUACUGGGUGUAAAGGGAGCGUAGACGGAUGGACAAGUCUGAUGUGAAAGGCUGGGGCUCAACCCCGGGACUGCAUUGGAAACUGCCCGUCUUGAGUGCCGGAGAGGUAAGCGGAAUUCCUAGUGUAGCGGUGAAAUGCGUAGAUAUUAGGAGGAACACCAGUGGCGAAGGCGGCUUACUGGACGGUAACUGACGUUGAGGCUCGAAAGCGUGGGGAGCAAACAGG
rnacentral:rRNA from 1 species